GGGAGUGUGGUUUAGGGGUAUAACGUCUGCUUCGCAAACACGUUCCAGUCUUGGGUUCGAUUCCCAACACUUCCA
rnacentral:tRNA from 1 species